AUGAAGGUAGCAUUAAAAACUAUCCUCCCAGAUGCACUACAUAAGUUGUGUCGGUGGCAUAUCAUGAAGAAGUACAAAGACCACCUCGCCUUGUUGUAUAAGGCGCACGAGAAACUCAAGGAUGACCUCAAUGCGGUGCUGAACCACCCACUAAUGCCGUCAGAAUUUGAACGAUCAUGGAGGGACCUCAUUCAGAAAUACAACUUGCAAAACGACGAAGUGAUGAUUUCUCUAUGGGAUGAAAGGCACGAGUGGAUCUCGGCUUACUACAAUGAAAUUUUCUGUGCUCGGAUGACUUCCACGCAGAGAAGCGAGAGCAUGAACCGCAUACUGAAGAAAAACUUUGUCAAAGAGAAGCAUGAUCUCCAUCUGUUUACUCAGUAGGUGGACAAGUGCAUUCAGACCAGGAAGGCCGUCGAGCACGCAGAGACAGUAGCAAAUGAGUCAGAGGUAAAGACAACAACCCAGUUUGGGUUCGAAGUUCAGCUAUCAAAAGUGUAUACAAGGGCAGUGUUUGCAGAUAUCAAAGAAACACUCUACCGUAGUGCUGCGUUCAGAGCAGAACGGUGCCAUGAGAACCCGACAAAGUAUCUCGUACACCACUACAACAGAUCGGAUGCAUUUGACUAGGCAAGGCAUAAUUUCCAUGUAGUCGCCGAUGAACAGAAAGGUGUCUACGAAUGUGAGUGCAAACUCUGGACACACACCGGGCUCUUUUGCGGUCAUGUGUUAUGCAUGCUUUCUCAUUUGAGAGCACUCAAGAUUCCUGAGGUGUACAUCAUGAAAAGAUACACCUGAAACGCAAGAUCAAAUGCAAUGUUUGACAAAAGAGACUACGAACAAACAGCACCAGAUGGAAGCUCCGCUUUUUGCCGUAGAAAAUUGCUGACAGAAAUAGCAAUGGACCUUGCAAACAGAGCGACAAGGUCCGACGCUGGAUGCCACAGAGCGUUGUCUGCUAUGAGGGCACUGAUCGAGGAAGUUGAUGUGCUCAACAAAGAAGAAGAAGAAGCAGCAAAACUAAAGCAAGCAGAGAAAUCCUAG
rnacentral:rRNA from 1 species